GUCAAUGCUCGCAAGAGUGAACUAGCUAACUGAAAUCAUAUGACUCAUGAAUUUGGUGAUUAUGAUAACAUAAGGGAAAAAAAUGAUGUUACCUUAUUAUUAGUGUUGUCCAAAACUGGUGCCAGAAGACUCGGUAAGACCAGAGACGCAAACGUUAGUCAUCUUAAUCAGGCGUAAAGGGUGUGUAGGCUGCUUUAAAAGUUUAUUUUUUUAAAUAGCUCUGUAACCGUAAUACUCUCUAAUUUGGGUAGUAUCUAAAAUUUAUAAUAAAAUAAAUGAUAUUUAAAAAAUAUCCGUGUAUCAGAAAAAAAAUAAAUGAAUAAAAGCUAGAAUCAAAUUGAGGAUAAGCCAAAUAAUACUUAGAGUAGGGGUUAAAUCCGCAGAUACUAAGGGGAAUACUAACGGUGGAGACUUUUUAUCUACUAAUGAUUGACGCUGAGAAACGAAGGUGAGAAUAGGAAAUUGGAUUUGAUACCCAGAUACCUCUCACAGUCAACGAUGAAUGGUGGUUGUUAGUUUUAGUAAAAACUGAUAACGAUGUUAACACGUUAACCAUUCCGCCUUGCGAGUACGGUUGCAAAACUGAAACCAAAAAAAUU
rnacentral:rRNA from 1 species